UUGUUUUAAGUAUUUUCUUUCAAAGACAUAAAAAGAGAGGUGAGCUAAAAUACAAUUUUCUUUUUUAGUGUUUUAGGAUUUGAUUCCUUCAUCUACAAAUUUUAUUGAAAUUUCUAUAGAAAUAACUUAGUUGUCAGUUGGUAAGCUUUGCAGAAAUUUAAAGGAUUGUGUUUUUUGAAUUUUCAAAUAAAUGUGGCAAGGUGAAUGGUUUUAGUCCUAUAUAGUCCUGUAGGACUGUUUUAGUUGCAAAAAAGUUUGAUAAUGCUUUUCUAGCAAUUGUUUUUCAUCUUUGUGUUGUAUACUC
rnacentral:lncRNA from 1 species